rnacentral:rRNA from 1 species
GUUGGGUGGCGGACGGGUGAGUAACGCGUGAAGAACUUGCCUCAUAGACUGGGACAACUAUUAGAAAUGAUAGCUAAUACCGGAUAGUAUCUUUUCAUGGCAUCAUGAGGAGAUGAAAGCUAUAUGCGCUAUGAGAGGGCUUCGCGUCCCAUUAGCUAGUUGGUAGUGUAAUGGACUACCAAGGUAACGAUGGGUAGCCGGCUUGAGAGAGUGGACGGCCACAAGGGGACUGAGACACGGCCCUUACUCC